rnacentral:rRNA from 1 species
UGGGGAAUUUUGGACAAUGGGCGCAAGCCUGAUGCAGCGACGCCGCGUGAGGGAUGACGGCCUUCGGGUUGUAAACCUCUUUCAGUAGGGAAGAAGCGUAAGUGACGGUACCUGCAGAAGAAGCCACGGCUAACUACGUGCCAGCAGCCGCGGUAAUACGUAGGUGGCAAGCGUUGUCCGGAUUUAUUGGGUUUAAAGGGUGCGUAGGCGGCCUAUUAAGUCAGUUCUGAAAUAUCCCGGCUUAACCGGGAGGGUGGGAUUGAUACUGAUGGGCUUGAGUGGAAUCGAGGUAGGCGGAAUUGACGGUGUAGCGGUGAAAUGCUUAGAUAUCGUCAAGAACACCGAUAGUGUAGACAGCUUACUAGACUUCAACUGACGCUGAGGCACGAAAGUGUGGGGAUCAAA